rnacentral:piRNA from 1 species
AACUACGAACACGAAAUACGCUUUACC